rnacentral:rRNA from 1 species
GGGGAAUUUUUCGCAAUGGGGGAAACCCUGACGAAGCAACGCCGCGUGGAGGAUGAAGGCCUUCGGGUCGUAAACUCCUGUCGACCGGGACGAAAGUAGUCCGACCCAAUACGUCGGGCUAUCGACUGUACCGGUGGAGUAAGCCACGGCUAACUCUGUGCCAGCAGCCGCGGUAAUACAGAGGUGGCAAGCGUUGUUCGGAAUUACUGGGCGUAAAGCGCACGCAGGCGGCUGCGCAAGUCUGACGUGAAAUCUCUCGGCUUAACCGGGAGCGGUCGUUGGAAACUAUGCGGCUUGAGGCGAUGAGAGGGGUGUGGAAUUCCCGGUGUAGUGGUGGAAUGCGUAGAUAUCGGGAGGAACAUCAGUGGCGAAAGCGGCACCCUGGCAUUAGCCUGACGCUCAGGUGCGAAAGCGUGGGGAGCGAA